GCAUCAGUGGUGUAAUGGUAACAUUGGGUCUUCCCAUUUGAGUGUGGCCUAGCCCCGGGUUCGAUUCCCGGCUGAUGCA
rfam:Peniophora sp. CONT PENSPscaffold_183_Cont269, whole genome shotgun sequence.